UGAAUACGAGACGCUAAGGCGUCGAAGUAGUGUAUGUCAUACUUCCAAGAAAAGCUUGCACUGUCAUAGAUAAAAAACGCCUGUACCAUAACCGACACAGGUGGGUAGGUAGAGUAUACUAAGGGGCGCGAGAUAACUCUCUAAGGAACUCGGCAAAAUAACUCCGUAACUUCGGGAGAAGGAGUGCCUUAUUCGUAAGGUUGCAAUAACAAGAUCCAAGCAACUGUUUAUCAAAAACACAGGUCUCCGCUAAGUCGUAAGACGAUGUAUGGGGGCUGACGCCUGCCCAGUGCCAGAAGGUUAAAGAAGUUGGUUAGCAAUUGCGAAGCUGAUAACUGAAGCCCUGGUGAACGGCGGCCGUAACAAUAACGGUCCUAAGGUAGCGAAAUUCCUUGUCGGGUAAGUUCCGACCCGCACGAAAGGCGUAAUGAUUUGGAUACUGUCUCGGAGAGGGGCUCGGUGAAAUAGACUUGUCUGUGAAGAUGCGGACUACCUGCACCAGGACAGAAAGACCCUAUGAAGCUUUACUGUAACUUGAAAUUGAAAUUGGACUUUAUUCGCGCAGUAUAGGUGGGAGGCGUUGAUUAUAAUCUUGUGGGAUUAUUGGAGCCAUCAGUGAGAUACCACUCUUGUAAUGUUAGAUUUCUAACUUUGAAUCAUUAUCUGGUCAAAGAACAGUUUCAGGCGGGCAGUUUGACUGGGGCGGUCGCCUCCUAAACGGUAACGGAGGCGUACAAAGGUUUCCUCUGAACGGUUAGAAAUCGUAUCUAGAGUGUAAAGGCAUAAGGAAGCUUGACUGUGAGACCUACAAGUCGAGCAGGGACGAAAGUCGGUCUUAGUGAUCUGACGGUACUGAGUGGAAAGGCCGUCACUCAACGGAUAAAAGUUACUCUAGGAUAACAGUCUGAUCUCCCCCAAGAGUUCACAUCGACAGGGAGGUUUGGCACCUCGAUGUCGGCUCAUCGCAUCCUGGGGCGGUAGUACGUCCCAAGGGUUGGGCUGUUCGCCCAUGAAAGCGGUACGCGAGCUGGGUUCAGAACGUCGUGAGACAGUUCGGUCCAUAUCCGGUGUAGGCGUUAGAAUAUUGAGAGGAGCCUUCUUUAGUACGAGAGGACCGAGAAGGACAUACCUCUGGUGUACCAGUUAUCGUGCCAACGGUAAACGCUGGGUAGCUAUGUAUGGAGUGGAUAACCGCUGAAAGCAUCUAAGUGGGAAGCCCACCUCAAGAUAAGUAUUCUCA
rnacentral:rRNA from 1 species